ACACAAACAGAAACAUGGAGUCACCGUCAGGAGUGAAUUCAUCCUGGUUCUAUCCAUCCAUAGGAAGACAAGCCGCCGUAUCAUUCACACAGCAGCCACUUAGGCUCAAGGUUGGAAUUCACUUACACUAAUACACUCAGACAUAUGCAUGCAUGCACAAUGCACAACCAAUUCCAACUCAUCACACAAUUCAUAACCUUAAUUAGCUGAAAAGAUUUCCCUACCCUCAUUUUUUAUAUUGUGUUAGGAGAUAUUUACAUGGAAACAUAUCUAGUUAAAAAUAAUGAACUGUAACAUGGUGACAACAUCCAGACAGCUGAAAAUACAAGCUUUUAAAAGCAGGCUCUAGGGUUGAAUCUCUUGAAUACGCCAUCCCUUCUCUAGCCAUUUAAACUGGCAGUAUGAAAAUCUUUGAAUACUGUGAAUUUACUGCCUAAACAUAUUACAUUUCCAGUUGAAUCAAAUUUACUUCAGUGCUCGAUUGAAGAAUGGCUCUCAGUCAUGCACAAAGAUUGUUUUUCAUAAUGUCAGGAACACAGAUUAUCUUAAAACACAAAGGAAAGGCGUUUUAAUGUAGCGCUGUAUGAACAUAGUCUUGGUUGUGUAAACAGAGAAGUUGGACAACUAUAAUCAUUUUAGGACUUUGGACUUGAGCGACAUUACAAACAAAUGAUGGAGAAAAAUUAGAAAUUUGAUAACUAGCCAUCAUCAUGUAGUAUUCGGCAAAUAUUAGCGUUAAGACACUUCCUUGCCUUCAAUUGUGUUUAAGAAGAUGCCAGAUACCUCUGGCAGAGCAAGAAGCCGGCCGGCAUAAGAUCCUACCCAACGUCAAAUAGGAUCCACCAUGUUGGAUUGCUAGUGUGGCAGUAAACGCCAGCUCUGCUAGCGAGCACCGUCUGCAGCUGCCUGGACAGCCACCAUGUUGACGUUGCAGAGACUAAUAAGAGUUAUUUAUGUAACAUGUGCCAGGAUAAAAGGUAAAAAUUACCUGUUCAACAAAAACUCUGUUGGUGUCUGAUUUCAGACCCAAAUCCCGGCAGAGCUUUCUCCUCUGCUUGAAGGAUGACCCGAUGUUUAUUUAAGUUAGAGUCCUCGCUUGGUCACAUUUCCUCUUCGACUCUGCCCUUUCUCUGAAGAAGCAGAAGUUGUUUUUUUUUUCUUUUGUUGCGUUCUUCUCCAUCACAGCUUCUGUAGCUAAGCUGCUACGCUAGCCGCUCAGAGCUUCGAGGAGAGCCGGGGGAGUGUGAGGGGAUGAGUCGGAACUACGG